rnacentral:lncRNA from 1 species
GAGACACCCUCCACUCAUUGUGAAGCAAUGCUUUGGAAGUUUUAGUAUGUUUCAGAGAUUGGAUUAGAUUAGAACGAAGAAAUCAAGGAAAAGAAGAUAUUGAUAGCCCAGACGACGAGGAAAUUGAAGAUAUAUUAACACAUGGAAACUCAUCCGAAUUUAACACGCCAGAAGAAGGUCAAUCGGUUCAUAUUGAUUAUGAUGAACUU